GAUGAAGAACGCAGCGAAAUGCGAUACGUAAUGUGAAUUGCAGAAUUCAGUGAAUCAUCGAAUCUUUGAACGCACAUUGCGCCCGCCAGCACUCUGGCGGGCAUGCCUGUUCGAGCGUCAUUUCAACCAUCAAGCCCCAGGCUUGCGUUGGAGCCCUGCGGCUGCCGCAGCCUCCUAAAAGCAGUGGCGGGCUCGCUAUCACACCGAGUGCAGUAGAGUACUCUUCGCUCAGGGCGUGCAGCGGGUUCCGGCCGUGAAACCCCCUACUUUUAAAGGUUGACCUCGGAUCAGGUAGGAAUACCCGCUGAACUUAAGCAUAUCAAUAAGCGGAGGA
rnacentral:misc_RNA from 1 species